rnacentral:rRNA from 1 species
GACGAACGCUGGCGGCGUGCCUAAUACAUGCAAGUCGAACGGUCUUCUCUAUGGAAGCUUGCUUCCGCUGAGAAGAUAGUGGCGAACGGGUGAGUAACACGUGGGUAACCUGCCCAUAAGAGGGGGAUAACAUCCGGAAACGGGUGCUAAUACCGCAUAGUUUUCUUGGUCGCAUGAUUGAGAAAGGAAAGACGGCCUUUGUGCUGUCGCUUAUGGAUGGACCCGCGGCGUAUUAGUUAGUUGGUGAGGUAACGGCUCACCAAGACGAUGAUACGUAGCCGACCUGAGAGGGUGAUCGGCCACAUUGGGACUGAGACACGGCCCAAACUCCUACGGGAGGCAGCAGUAGGGAAUCUUCCGCAAUGGACGAAAGUCUGACGGAGCAACGCCGCGUGAGUGAAGAAGGUUUUCGGAUCGUAAAACUCUGUUGUCAGAGAAGAACAAGUCGGAGAGUAACUGCUCCGGCCUUGACGGUAUCUGACCAGAAAGCCACGGCUAACUACGUGCCAGCCGCCGCAGUAAUAC